AAUGCAAUUCAGUACUUUGGAUGGGUAAUUCAUCUCUUUUUCCAAAGGUUUCCCAAUUAUUUCGAAAGAAUAGGAGUGAUUAGAGUGUUUUCGUUUUAUAUGUGAGUCAGAAAAUGUCAUCAGACUUAUUUGUGAAUCAUAGGGUUAUUGUACGUGCUUUCAAUCGAACACUAAUAAUUGUUUUUCUUUAAUUGAUGUCUAGUUAUUUAUAUAAAAAAAUCAAUAUUCGAUCCGCCAUGCUACUGACGUUCUGGAGAUAAUCGCAAGUCAUUAACAUUUGAGAGAAAAACAGAUUUUCUCCACGAAAGAAAAGAAUCGUGAAGUCGUCAAGACAUAAAAAUAUCUAUAAUAGAAGGAGAUAUCAAGAUAAAAAAUAUUCGACACUUGCUCUUCCUGCAUUACAAUGUCAACUAUAAUUGGUGACAACGGGGAGGCCGAUUGGUGUUCUGUAUUUUUGUUUGAAAAUCUGAUUAUUGAAUGUAAAAUAAGUGGAGUUAAGUACAAAUUCAAUAAUUUUAAUGAAUUCAUUUUUGGCUGCAAUUCAUUGAGAUCAUUUUCCAUCUGUUUUCAAUACUUUUUAGUGCCAAGUCAAACGGUAUAUUGUUGAAUAAUGAUACUGCGUCAAGAGAGAUCAUUAAGUGAUUAUUGAUUGAGUAUGUUCACUAAAUCAAAACUAUUUUCUACAUGGCUAUUGGCAACUGCUCAUCAACUGGCCAUGGAAAAAUGUAUGGAGAUUAGCCAACGGAAUCCAUGCACACAUCAUGAAAUACAACUAAUGAAAUUGUAUUCGCUGAUGAAGACUUGAAGUUAGCCGAAACGUUAUUUAUUUGUUAAAAUAUAUUAUUUGAACUAAAAAGAGUCACUUAUGCGCAUCACUUACAGCACUGAUUCCUAAUCGCCCAAUUUAUUUAUCAUUUAAUUAUCAUUUUAACUAAUAAUAAGCGACGGCUAAAACCUGUUGGAGGUCACUCAGGGUCAUAAUCUUGACAACAUAUAUCAAGGUCAAGGUAAUUGGAGGGAUGCUCCUCUAAUCUGAAUUUUUACCUUAAUAAUUUAUUUACGAUAAAUUUGAUCAAAAUGACAAAGAACAAUAAGUUACUAUACAAAAAUACUUAUACAAAAUUUCUAUAGAAUUCAAAAAUACUUAUACAAAAUUUCUAUAGAAUAAUUGAAUCCGCUUUCAUCAGGAAAUAAUAGGGAACGAUAACAUUUUUUUCAAAUAUAAUGUGAAUAAUGAUAUUGUAAGAAACGAUGGCUAUAGCACAAACUUUCGCAUAACGCAUAACGUGUAUAGUAAUAAUUGUAUAAUAAUAAUAAAGGCAUAAAAACUCAACCAAUCGGAAUCCUUUAUUUCAUGGAGAGGAAUGUAAUGAGAGAUUUAUUCAUUUGUUAUUAACAGAAAUAUGAAUAAUUAAUGCGCACUACAUGAUAGAAUAAUAAGAUGGAAUCAAACAUGAAAUCGUUAGAUCAUUAUUAAAUAAUAUUCUGUGAUAAUUCGUUAAUAAAAUGGAUGAAAACUUAA